UAGUCUCGCACAGAUGCAUAUCAAUAAGCGGAGGAAAAGAAACUAACAAGGAUUCCCCUAGUAACGGCGAGUGAAGCGGGAAGAGCUCAAAUUUGAAAUCUUAAAGGGUUUCCCUUUACGAAUUGUAGUUUAAAGAAGUGUUUUCUGUUGAGGUUUUGGUAAAAGUUCUUUGGAAUAGGACAUCAUAGAGGGUGAGAAUCCCGUAUUUGGACCUUUACUUUCAACUUUGUGAUACACUUUCAAAGAGUCGGAUUGUUUGGGAAUGCAGUCCAAAAUGGGUGGUAAAUUUCAUCUAAAGCUAAAUAUUGGCGAGAGACCGAUAGCGAACAAGUACCGUGAGGGAAAGAUGAAAAGAACUUUGAAAAGAGAGUUAAACAGUACGUGAAAUUGUCAAAAGGGAAGCGUUUGACACCAGUGUUGUUUUUCUGAAAAUCAAUUAAAGAACUGUUUAUGCUAAGUUGUUUAGACUUUAUCAGCUAACUGUUUAGUUUUGAGCUUUUCUUUAAUGCACUUUUCAGUUAACAAGUCAACAUCAAUUUCUUUUGCUGUAAAAAAGCUUGAGGAAGGUGGCUUGAGAUUCGUCUUAAGUGUUUAUAGCCUCUUGCCUAUGCAGUCGGAGAGAUUGAGGUCUGCAGCGUAGAUCCUUCGGGGCUAAAUGCAUUUGUGCUAAGUUAUAGCAUUUUAUAGACAACUUGUUGACUAUGAUUUGUCUUGUAGCUUACUCGCUUAUGUUAUUUUACCUACGCUUAGGAUGUUGAGUAGCGACAUACGCAC
rnacentral:rRNA from 1 species